rnacentral:rRNA from 1 species
UACGGAGGGUGCAAGCAUUAAUCGGAUUUAUUGGGCGUAAAGGGCGCGUAGGCGAGUAAAUAAGUCAGAUGUGAAAUCCCGGGGCUCACCCCCGGAACAGCAUUUGAAACUGUGUAUCUAGAGGGUAGGCGGAGAAAAUGGAAUUCCACAAGUAGCGGUGAAAUGCGUAGAUAUGUGGAAGAACACCAGUGGCGAAGGCGGUUUUCUAGCUUACUCCUGACGCUGAGGCGCGAAAGCAAGGGGAUCAAACAGG